GGGGGCGUAGCUCAGAUGGUAGAGCGCUCGCUUAGCAUGCGAGAGGUACCUUGAUCGAUACCCGGCGCCUCCA
rnacentral:tRNA from 1 species